rnacentral:rRNA from 1 species
AUUGAACGCUGGCGGCAGGCCUAACACAUGCAAGUCGAGCGGAUGAAGGGAGCUUGCUCCUGGAUUCAGCGGCGGACGGGUGAGUAAUGCCUAGGAAUCUGCCUGGUAGUGGGGGAUAACGUCCGGAAACGGGCGCUAAUACCGCAUACGUCCUGAGGGAGAAAGUGGGGGGUCUUCGGACCUCACGCUAUCAGAUGAGCCUAGGUCGGAUUAGCUAGUUGGUGGGGUAAAGGCCUACCAAGGCGACGAUCCGUAACUGGUCUGAGAGGAUGAUCAGUCACACUGGAACUGAGACACGGUCCAGACUCCUACGGGAGGCAGCAGUGGGGAAUAUUGGACAAUGGGCGAAAGCCUGAUCCAGCCAUGCCGCGUGUGUGAGGAAGGUCUUCGGAUUGUAAAGCACUUUAAGUUGGGAGGAAGGGCAGUAAGUUAAUACCUUGCUGUUUUGACGUUACCAACAGAAUAAGCACCGGCUAACUUCGUG